AGCAGUUACAGUCGCAGGUAGUCGUUUUGUGUCGCGUGGUUUGUCCGUACUCACAUCUCUUGUAUUUCUGAACUUGCCAAAUAUUUUAUACGUUUUUUGGCAGAUAUGAAGUCACUGUAAUACAACUUCUCAGAAUUAUUAGGAAUUAAAAAUCCUGAUGGCUAUUGAACAGCUGAAUAGUUCGUUACUUACCUCUGUUGACUCAUGUCUACAGAACAAGGUCUCACAAGACUCUGGCAACGAGUCAGACGAGUUCAGAAUCCAGAUUGGACAAUGUCCUGAGAGAGAAGUGCUGAUUGAGUACAGUUUUACAAAUGUUUCUCAGAACUUGACGACACAUCAUCCUUUAUUUGGGAAUCCUGCUUAGAAUGAUUUACAGAAGUGAUGCCUGCCAAGAGAUACGGACGAUCGGACGAACUUGCUUUCAACAUCAUCAACUUUACACGGAAUUUGUUACAGUCAAAUUCUGAUUUCCGUCAGUCAGUCCAGAACAAACACUAAAUCUUUCUUUUUUAUUUUCUUGAUAAUUGUAGACUUCAUCAGUUAUCUUGCAUGUGCUUGUGAUGUGCUUGUGAUAAUAUGAUUUCAUAUUUGGGUAUAUUAAUCUGACCGUUAUUGGCUGUAUUCGAAGCAGUAUUUCAGUUUGGAUACAGUCUUAUAUCUAAAAUUUGUAUACACAUGGAUAUAUUUAAUAUUUUAUGAAAAUUAGUAUAUUAUGUAACUGUAUUAUUCGAAUUUGAUGUUAAA